UACGGGGGGGGCAAGCGUUGUUCGGAAUUACUGGGCGUAAAGGGCUCGUAGGCGGCCAACUAAGUCGGACGUGAAAUCCCUCGGCUUAACCGGGGAACUGCUUCCGAUACUGGAUGGCUUGAGUGUGGGAGAGGGAUGCGGAAUUCCAGGUGUAGCGGUGAAAUGCGUAGAGAUGUGGAGGAACACCAGUGGCGAAGGCGGCCACCUGGGCCGACCCUGACGCUGAGGCGCGAAGGCGUGGGGAGCGAACGGG
rnacentral:rRNA from 1 species